rnacentral:rRNA from 1 species
UACGGAGGGUGCAAGCGUUAUCCGGAUUCACUGGGUUUAAAGGGUGCGUAGGCGGAUUUGUAAGUCCGUGGUGAAAUCUCUAAGCUUAACUUGGAAAUUGCCGUGGAUACUAUAAGUCUUGAAUAUUGUGGAGGUUAGCGGAAUAUGUCAUGUAGCGGUGAAAUGCAUAGAUAUGACAUAGAACACCAAUUGCGAAGGCAGCUGGCUACACAACUAUUGACGCUGAGGCACGAAAGCGUGGGGAUCAAAC